CUCCGAUCAGUAGCUCAUCAAUCUUGAACUUAAGCAUAUCAAAAGCCGGAGGAACGC
rnacentral:rRNA from 1 species